UCACCUUUCCUUCGGGACAGGGGAGACAGGUGGUGCAUGGUUGUCGUCAGCUCGUGUCGUGAGAUGUUGGGUUAAGUCCCGCAACGAGCGCAACCCUUAUCCUUAGUAGCCAGCASGYAAAGSUGGGCACUCUAGGGAGACUGCCAGGGACAACCUGGAGGAAGGUGGGGAUGACGUCAAAUCAUCAUGCCCCUUAUGAUUUGGGCUACACACGUGCUACAAUGGCGUAAACAAAGAGAGGCGASAGGGCGACCUGGASCAAAUCUCAAAAAUAACGUCCCAGUUCGGACUGUAGUCUGCAACCCGACUACAYGAAGCUGGAAUCGCUAGUAAUCGCGAAUCA
rnacentral:rRNA from 1 species